rnacentral:rRNA from 1 species
CUAGUAAUCGCAGAUCAGAAUGCUGCGGUGAAUGCGUUCCCGGGUCUUGUACACACCGCCCGUCACACCACGGGAGUUGGAGACGCCCGAAGCCGAUUAUCUAACCUUUUGGAAGAAGUCGUCGAAGGUGGAAUCAAUAACUGGGGUGAAGUCGUAACAAGGUAGCCGUAUCGGAAGGUGCGGCUGGAUCACCUCCUUUCUAAGGAGA